rnacentral:rRNA from 1 species
UACGGGGGGCAAGCGUUGUUCGGAAUUACUGGGCGUAAAGGGCUUGUAGGUGGCCAACUAAGUCAGACGUGAAAUCCCUCGGCUUAACCGGGGAACUGCGUCUGAUACUGGAUGGCUAGAGUGUGGGAGAGGGAGUGCGGAAUUCCAGGUGUAGCGGUGAAAUGCGUAGAUAUCUGGAGGAACACCGGUGGCGAAGGCGGCAUCCUGGACAUUGCUGACGCUCAGGCACGAAAGCGAUG